AUACGGAGGAUCCAAGCGUUAUCCGGAUUUAUUGGGUUUAAAGGGUGCGCAGGCGGCCAUUUAAGUCAGCGGUUAAAUCGUGGGGCUCAACCGCAUUCUGCCGUCGAUACUGGGUGGCUUGAUUGGGGUCGGCGGUGGCGGGAUUCGUAUGGUAGCGGUUAAAUGGAUAAAUUUGAGGAAGAACAUCGAUUGCGGAGGCAGCUGAUCAGAAAGAAAAUGAGGCUCAUGCACGAAAGUGCGGAGAUCGAGCAGGAUUAGAUACCCUGGUAGUCCGCAAAGUAAACGAUGAAUACUUGUUUUCGGUGAUAUAAUGUCGGAGGCAAAGCGAAAGCGAUAAGUAUUCCACCUGGGGAGUACGCCGGCAAGGGUGAAACUCAAAGGAAUUGACGGGG
rnacentral:rRNA from 1 species